CCUGCGCUCGGGCGCGGCUCCACCCUCCUUUCGAGAACCGCCGCGUGGCUGGAGUCAUGGCGGCCUCAGCGGUGUCCGAGAAAGGCCGGCAAACUCCUGCCUUUGGCGGCGAUUAAAGAUGUUGGCUCUAGACUUGAAAAAAGACCCAUGAAAACCGUCAUCCGAAAACGGUACAGUGUCAGCCUCAGUUUGAGGCCGAAAAGGAAGCCCCGGAAGAAGACGCUGGCAGCAGUACCCCGCUGGCUGCCCUGGACCCAAGGCAGAAUUUCCCUUGUGUCUGCAGUGUGAGGCAGAACGGUUUUGCCUGGAGCAAGUGAAACGAUUCCUCUCCUGCUGUUACUAGUAAGCUUUCUGUUUCCAUCUUACGUGUCCCGAAGCAGCCCCGAGCAGCCCCGCAAGCCUGUGAUGGCUGGUUAUCCCUGUCUGAAAGGCUCGACUGAGGGAGAAAAUCUGUUCUGAGGCUUCAGGGUUUGGCGCUGUGCUCUUAAUGGCAGUCGAGGCUUAAUAAGGGGUCAAGUCGAACGGAUUCCAGAGGGGAUUGCGCUUACCCUGCUGAGACCCUGGUCCUGGUGCACUGUCCCUCUGCACCUUAAAGACAAGUGCCGCCACUGCCCUGUCAGGCUCUAGGUCCCCCAGUUUAAUGGCUCAGAGGGCACAGGCUGUUAGGGGGGCAGAAAUGGGCAAGUGGCCUGGAUUUGAUUUAUGCUCUUGUUGUGGGAUGAAGAGUGC
rnacentral:lncRNA from 1 species